CCUACGGGUGGCAGCAGUGAGGAAUAUUGGUCAAUGGGCGCGAGCCUGAACCAGCCAAGUCGCGUGAGGGAAGACGGUCCUAUGGAUUGUAAACCUCUUUUGUCGGGGAGCAAAAGACGCCACGCGUGGCGUUCCGCGAGUACCCGAAGAAAAAGCAUCGGCUAACUCCGUGCCAGCAGCCGCGGUAAUACGGAGGAUGCGAGCGUUAUCCGGAUUUAUUGGGUUUAAAGGGUGCGCAGGCGGAAGGUCAAGUCAGCGGUAAAAUUGCGGGGCUCAACCUCGUCGUGCCGUUGAAACUGGGUUUCUUGAGGGAGGGAGAGGUAUGCGGAAUGCGUGGUGUAGCGGUGAAAUGCAUAGAUAUCACGCAGAACUCCGAUUGCGAAGGCAGCAUACCGGCGCUCAACUGACGCUCAGGCACGAAAGUGUGGGUAUCGAACAGGAUUAGAUACCCCUGUAGUC
rnacentral:rRNA from 1 species